rnacentral:misc_RNA from 1 species
CAGUAUUCCGCCGCUCGUCACCUGCGGUCAUACUGGUUGCAACUUCCCAAAUUUCUUACAAAAAUCCAAUGAAAAUUAAAAAACAUCUUUUCGUACCUUUAAUGCAAUAAUAUGUGCAUUUUGAAGCAUGCCGAUUCAGGCUCCCUCAUGGACAGAUUUUCUGAACUGUCCCAUCUGCUGCAAUGAAUUCGCGGCCAGCCAGCGAUGUCCGGUCAGUCUGGGCUGCGGGCACACCAUCUGCAAGCUAUGCCUGACGACCCUCUACAACCGGCAGUGUCCCUUCGAUCAGACCGUGAUUGUCAGCGAUAUCGACAAUCUGCCCAUUAACCAUGCUUUGCUCCAGUUGGUCAAGGACUCGGAGCUUCUGGAGCUGGGACCACCACCGCCCAUUGUGCAGAAGCUGGAGACGGAGCAACUUAAGUGCUACCAACUGGGUCAGCGGUGCAUCGAGGAGCUGGCUUUGCACUUGAAGUCCUUCCUCAACCUGAACGGAAAUGGCAAUCUCCUGACACGACCCAUGCUACGAAAACUGGUUACGCUGGUCAACUGCCAGCUGAUGGAGGAAGAGGGACGGGUGAGGGCGCUCCGAGCAGCAAGAUCCCUAGGCGAACGCACAGUCACCGAGCUGAUUCUGCAGCACCAAAAUCCCCAGCAGUUAAGCUCAAAUUUGUGGGCAGCGGUGCGGACAAGAGGAUGUCAGUUUCUUGGACCCGCCAUGCAGGAGGAGGUGCUCAAACUGGUGCUACUGGCCUUGGAGGAGGGAUCAGCGCUAUCGCGCAAAGUGCUGGUAAUGUUCGUCGUGCAGCGACUAGAACCGCAGUUUCCCCAGGCUUCAAAGACGAGUAUCGGACAUGUGGUACAGCUGCUCUACCGAGCCAGCUGCUUCAAGGUGUCCAAGCGGGAGGCGGACUCAUCGUUGAUGCAGCUCAAAGAGGAAUUCCGAACGUAUGACGCCCUGCGCCGCGAGCACGAUGCCCAAAUCGUUCAGAUAGCCACCGAGGCGGGUCUGCGCAUUGCACCGGAACAGUGGUCUUCCCUAUUGUAUGGCGACGUGAUGCAUAAAAGUCACAUGCAGAGCAUCAUCGAUAAACUGCAGACGCCAAGCUCCUUUGCCCAAUCAGUCCAGGAGUUGGUAAUCGCCUUGCAGCGGACCAGUGAUCCUGCGAAGCUGUCCAGUUUGCACCAUCAUCUGAAGUACCUGGCCAACAUCGAUCCCUGUGCAGAGGUUGCCCCCUGGUCGGAUUUGGCUGAGGCCUUGGAUGCAGUACGCCAUUCGGUCGUUGGACUGGUAAACUUUCUUCAGCACCAUGGAGUGCGAAAGACGCAGGACGGCAUCAGUGGCGGUGGCAGCGGUGGGACGGCCAAUAGCAAUCCGAAGUACAAGAUCAGCUUAUGCAGGGACUUGAAUGUGCGAAGGGUUUGUCCCCGAGGUGCUAGCUGUACCUUUGCCCAUUCCCAAGAGGAGGUAGAACGCUAUCGUGCACGGAAUCGAGGAAAACAUAUGAAGACACCGCUGGCCCUGCAAGGUCCCCCAGCGGUAGGAGUAGGAGCCAUCAAAAAACCACUAGGAGAACAGGAGGGGCAGGCUAUAGGAGUGCCACCCAUGUUGCCCAUGUCUCCUAUGCAUUAUAUGGGAUCUCCCAGGGGAUAUCUGGAUCCCAGCUUGGGACUAUCGCCAGGAGGGGGACUUCCACCGCAGCAGUCGCCCCUACUUCAUCCGCCGCAUCACAGUCCCAUUACCCGACUCAUAGUACCCAGUCGAUACGGUCCUCGCUUUAGAGGCUUUGGCGUUGGCACGCCUAGGAAUCCUUCGCCCAGAGAAUACCAAGCCAGUCCGGUAGCGCCAACGCAACGCAAUGCCAACCCACCGAACUUUAGUGUGAACAGCAACCUGCACAAGGGCUACAUGUUGCCCGGAGUUGGUGGAGAUGUCUUCCAUCUGGGCAAUCCCUGGGAGCAAGCAUACCUGGCACAGCAGCAACAACAGCAGCAGCAUCCACAACAACAGCAGCCACCGUCCAGCAAGCCGAGUCCCAGCCGACCGUUGUCGAUUUUAUCCGCAACAGCUGAUACCUCAUUUUAUGAAAAGAAACCGCCGAAUAGUGUUAACAUAGAUCUGGACAGAGUCCCGGAGGUCGAUGUGGAUGCAGUGAAUCUGUACCGGCAAUCCAACAACAACCACAACAACAACAACAACAACAAUAGCAGCUCUCACAACAACAACAAUCAUGGCUCAUCGUUGCUCUUCUGGAACAAUACGGGAAAAGAGUCAGCAAAUUUUGUACGAUCAGACUCCAUAUUGGAUGACGAUGCGUCCACAUUCGAUGUGCCCACUGGCUCCUCCAUGCUGAGUAUCUACGGCCCGAUUUGCCCCAAGAGCAGCACAACCGGCAACUGGAACAACUUUGAUCUGGGAUAUGGCGGCUUUAGGAGCGACAGAAACGAUAACUUCAAUGCCAAUAAACAGCAGCAGCCGGUGUGGAGCAGGAAGCCACAGCUAAUGUCGGAGGACAGUUUCGAGGGCGGAAUCGACAGUGGAAUGAUGCUGCAGCUAGAGAAGAACCUGGUGGAUAUCGUCGAUCCCGAUGACAGUGGGAUUAAGGUGGACUAGGAGCUGCAUUCCGGUUCACUCUGCCAGAGGAAAUUUCUAUAUAGGUUUUAUAUAGAUCGAAUGGGCGGUAGAGAAUAUGUAUAAUGCAAUCAUUUUACGCAUCGUUAGAGAUUCGGGGAUUGUGUCCAGCACACAUAGUGAAAAGUAACAGCAAACAAAAAUAAACUCAACCUAGAUUGUAAACUAUGUGUGUAGCCUAGAAUUCAGCUCAGACUCGUAGAUCCGUAGGAACCCCAAAAGAGGCGAUCAAGAGUGAUGAGGAUGAGAUAUGCAAACUCUUGUUGAGUUCAAGCAACAUCCAGAUUUGUAUAGCAGCGAAGAUUUUAAAGCAAUUUUCUCAGAUGAAAUAGCUACUGUGCACUAAUUAACUGAACCAUGAUCACAAGACUUCGAAAUCUAGGCAGAACUCAUAUUCUUAUCCAAAAUAGUGUGUUUGUCAUCCCCCCUCCUGAUUAUUUGUGAUCAAAUUUUGAUUGAUUGUGUAACGCUGGAAACAUAGAUGUAAACCUAAAUAUUUUUUUUAAUAAUUAACUAUUUCAAAACGCUAUUUUUAUAUAUACAAAAUCAGCAGGGCUGACAGGAUCUGAAAAAUCCUAUCGCCCUCAAAACACAAUCACACACAUACACCAACACGCAUACAUACUGAGCCACAGGACACGAACGAUCAUUUGUAUGUGUGUGAAAUGAAUGUUUAUAUUUCUUAAAGAAAUUUUAAUAACGCUAUUGUGCGAUGUUGUUAACUAUUGUACUAUAUAAUAUUAAAUUUAUUGAAAAUAAAUUAAAAUCACGUCCCAUUAUCCCUUUUUGUAAACUGUGAGAAAAGUAAAGUACAGGAGAAUUUGCAAACAGGAAGUUAAAUGUCAGUCAGGGCUUUGAGAACAUUUACACAUACCUACUCUACGCAAAUAUAAAUUUGUAUUUAUAUCUAGAAACUAAUCAAUUGUGCGCUCUAUUAUUAAUAUUAUAUAUUAAUGUCAGUUGAGCCUGCGUUUUGCUUUCAAGACUUUGUACAUCAGUUUGAUUUGAAGCAAAAGUGAAAGAUUUUGUAACUUGUAUUUGUUAAGCGAUGAAAUCAGGAACCCUAUAUAUAACCACGCUUGGUCAUAGAAGAAUAUAACAUAUAUAUCUUUACAAAUAUAUUUAUUGUUAACGAGUUUCGAUGCCGUGUGUGUAGUAGAAUCCAUGUAAAAAUAUAUUCCCCGCCUCGGGGAGUGUGUGUUCAGUUGUGAGCUAGUUAAAAUUGAUCGAAGCAAUUUUAAAA